rnacentral:lncRNA from 1 species
AUUGCUAACCAUAAUCACUAUGCCAUGCAAUAGCUCUUCAGAAACUAUUCAUUUUAUAUCUGAAAGUUUGUACUCUUUGACCAAGAUCUCCCCCCUUCCCCCACAUUCUAGCCCCUGAUAAUCAACUUUCUAAUCUCUGUUUCUGUGAGUUUGACUUUUUAAGCUUCUAUAUACAAGUGAUGUCAUAUUUACUUCCUUGAUUUGUUCAGUGAGAUGUUAAAGAUCAUAUUGGAUCAGCCACUAGAAGCCAGUGAACACAUGUAGGGUUGUCUUUUUCCUUUCCUAUCACCUCCACCAUGCUAUGAAAUCUAAAUUAGGAAUCAUAAUUUUUAAUCCUAGGACAUGUAGUAUUACAUUUAAACAUAUGCACAUGCAUUUUAAUAUUUGUUGCCUGUAUUCUGCCUUUUAAUCCUUAGCAAUUAAAUUGAAGGCUCAAACCCAUUGAGUUUCUUAUGUAAGAGUGGACUGCUACCCCUCACUCAUCAAGGCUUGGCUUGGGCUUUGUCUUACAUGAUAGAACAUGUGUCCACAGUGCACUAGGCAUUGCUAAGUGUUUCUUUGUCAAUGUGAAAGCCUUCUUCAAGUCCUUGGGGCAUGUAACCUUAUAGCUCCAAUGUAGAGUUAAUAUGCUUUGUUGCUGGAAAAAGUAACAUUUUCAUCACUCUCUUUGUGCUACCUCUGUUGUGUGUUAUGUUACUCAUGAAGAAGCAGAGAGAAUUUGUGUCCUAAUCCACCUUCAACCUAGAAAGUAUUAAUUACUCUUUCAUCUGUGUUUUCAUAAUAUUUGGAUUAUUACAUUAUUUCCUGGCUGAUUAAUUUAUUUUUAAUCAUACAGGAAAGUACAUUCUGUUUAUAAAAAUUUCAAAUAAUAAAAAUAAAUUCUUCUGUUCAACUACAUCCUUUCCCCCUCACCUAUCCCCAGAGAUAAGCAAUCUUCUCAGUUUUGUAUGUAGCCCUCCAAAUAAUUUCAUACAUAUGUGUGAGCCUGUAUAAUUUUACUCAAAUGAUUGCAGUUUCUACAUAUUGUAUUAUUAUUUCAUUUAUUCACUUAACCGUGUUGACUCAGAGAGGGUUAUAUGUAUAUAAACUUUACCCUUUUAAACAAUUGCCCAGAAUUCCUUUGCAUGACCCUCCAGGAGCAUGACCCUCUCUGGGUUGAUAUGGUUUGCUUUCAGGUUUUCAAUGAAUACAACAGAAUUCUAGUAAACAUUUCUGAUAUAGCUCUUUGUGUAGCUACAUGAGUAUGUGACUAGUUCUCUGGCCAGUGUGCGUACCUAGAGAUGGAAUGGGUCAGAGAAUGUGUAGCACUUAUCAAAAGUGUUACCGGAUUGCCUUUAUUUUCUCACGAGUUUGUGGGUCAAAUAGCCUUUACAGAAAGGUUGUUUCUUUUUUUUUCUCUAAAUUUUAUUGGAGUAAUGGUUGACUUAAAAUGUUGUUUUAGUUUCAGAUGUAUAACAAAGUGAAUCAGAUUUAUAUAUAUGUAUGUGUGUGCAUCCAUUCUUUAUCAUAUUCUUUUCCCAUAGGUUAUUAUAGAAUAUUGAGUAGAUUUCCCUGUGCUAUACAGUAAGCCCUUGUUAAUUAUCUGUUUUAUAUAUAGUAGUGCAUAUAUGUUAACCCCAACCUGCUAAUUUGUACCUUCCCGCCACAUUCCCCCUUUGGUAACCAUAAGUUUGAUUUUUAAAGUCUUUUUCUGUUUUGUAAAUAAGUUAUUUUGUAUCAUUUAGAAAUUAGGUUCCACAAGUAAGUGAUCUCAUAUGAUAUUUGUCUUUGACUUCACUUAGUAUGAUAGUUUCUAGGUCCAUCCAUGUUGAUGAAAGUAUCAUUACUUCAUUUUUUUUAAUGGCUAAUAUUCCAUUGUAUAUAUGUACCACAUCUUCAUUAUCCGUUCCUCUGUUGAGGAACAUUUAGAUUGCUUCCGUGUACUGGCUAUUGCAAAUAGUGCUGCAUUGAACAUUGGGGUGCAUAUAUCUUUUUGAAUUAUGGUUUCCUCCAAGUAUAUGCUCAGGAGUGGGAUUGUUGGAUCAUAUGGUAGUUCUGUAUUUGGUUUUUUAAGGAAUCUCCAUACUGUUCUCCACAAUGGUUGUACCAAUUUACAUUCCCACCAACAGUGUAGGAGUUUUCCCUUUUCUCCACACCUUUUCUAGCAUUUAUUGUUUGUAGACUUUUUGAUGAUGACCAUUCUGACUGAUGUGAGGAGUUACCUAAUUGUACUUUUGAUUUGCAUUUCUCUAAUGAUUACUGGUGUUGAGCAUCUCUUCAUAUGCUUUUUGGCCAUCUGUCAUCUUUGGAGAAAUGUCAAUUUAGAUCUUCUGCCCAUUUUUUGAUUGCUUUUUUUUUGUAAUAAAGCUGCAUGAAAUGUUUGUAUAUUUUGCAGAUUAAUCCCCUGUUGGUUGCUUCAUUUGUGGUAAUUUUCUCCCAUUCUGUGGGUUGUCUUUUUGUUUUGUUUAUGGCAUAAAAUCUAUUUAAUAGAGUGUGGCCCAAAAACCCUCAUCAAUCCUGGCUAUUCUUUAAUAUUUUAAAAUGUUGCAUAUUUGACAGGAAAAUAGAUGUAUCUUUUUGUUUUCUUUCCAUUUCCUGGAUUAUUAGUGAGUUGUCACAUAUUUUCCUGUUGGGCAUUUGUGUAUUGAACAUUUGUAUCUCCUCUUCUGUAAAUAUGUUUUGCUCAUUGUUAUGGAUCCCAUAGAGAGGCAUGUGUUUUCCUGGAGUGCCUGAAUUUUCUUCUAUCCGUAAUUAUAUUUCUAUUCUUGGGCCAAGAACACAUUUUUAUUCCUAUACUAUAUAAAAUUAUAUAAUAUAUGUAUAUGCAUGCAUAUAUUAUGUGUACAUGUUAAUAUAUAUUUUCAUGUGUACAUUCACCUCUAUCAUAUUUACAAACUAUAUCCUAAACCAUUCAGCAUCAAGCAUUACAGUCACAGGGGUAAACCAAAUAGACAAUGAACAUUACUGAGGAAUUUCAGGAAUUUUCUAGGUAUUUUCUCUACUGAGAAAAAUCUGUUGAUCUGUCUUAUCACCAUAAGUUAUCAUCUAUCAAUCCAUAUGUUCUUCCAUCCAUUUAUCUAAUAACCACCUGUAUAAUGCUUACUAUAUGUCAAGCACUAGUCAAAGUGCUUUAUGCAUAUUCACUCUUUUAUGCCUUGACAUCCCCAUUAGGCAGGUAUUCUACUCUUAUCCUAUUUUUUUAUCUGAGGAAACUGAGCCAGAGAGAAAUUGAGGAAUUUGCCUAGGUCCACAUGGGUAGUAUGUAGCAAGUCUAUAAUUUGGACCCAGGUGAUCUGGUCUGGUUUAAGAGUUUAUAUUCUUUCAUACAUUUAAAAUAAAAUUUAAAAUUUUAGUAUUUGUUAUAUUUCAUAGAAAAACCUUUUGGGAUUUUGAUAGUUGGGUAUUUAAUGAUUUAUUAAACAUCUGUAUAAUCAAGUCUCCCCAUUUAGUACUUUAGGAGGGCUUCAUUAAAUCAUUUCUGCUUUUAUAUCCUUUACAUAAUUUUGUCUCACUCAUUAAUUAAUUGUUAAAUUUAUCCCCAGGUAUUUUAAAAUUUGGUGUUGAUACAAAUGGGAUCUUUCCAAUAUCAUCCAUUUCCUUUUCAGUGUAAUAGGAAAUAUAAUUUUUGUAUGUUGAUCUAGAAUCUAUAUAUUUUGCUGAAUUUGUCUUUUUUGUUUUAAUUAUCAGUUGAUUGUGUUGGAUAUUUAUUCUAAGAGACAAAAUUAAAGAGAAUUUUGUUUCUUCCUUUCAAAUAUUUAUAACUUUUCCUUUUCUUAUAUUAUUAUUUUAUCUAGAUAUUUGUUAUAGUAAUGAAUAUAGGAGAUAAUAGGUAUUCAGUAGAUAUGUACUAUUACAUAUAGAUAUGUACUAUAGAUAUUCACAUACAGUUACAUAUCUUUUACUGUUUUGAACAUUAAUACAAAUGCUGAGUUUUUUCUUAAUGUUUAGUUUGUUUAUUUUUAUGAUGGGUACCUUUUAACAAUUUAAGUAUUUUUGUCCUAUUUCUAGUGUGUUAAGAACUUUUAAUCAAGAACUGGUUUUCAAUUAUAUAAAUAUUUUUUAGCAAUGCUAGAGAUUAUUAUAGGAUUUGUUACUUUAUGUGAAUUAAAGAAGUAAAUUACUUUAAUAUGCUGUUAAAUGUUGAACCAGUAUGUGAUGGGGUUUGGUUCCACUACCCACCUUGGAUACCCAAACUCACAGAUACUUGAGUCCCAUAGUCAAAUUCAACCAAAUUUUUGCUUACCUAACUUGCAUCCUCUCUUCUGGUUUUAGAGUUGGGUGUUUACCUCUUCUGAGAUUUUCUGAGUCAGAAUCCAGACCAAGAGCCUCUUAGAGCAUGAAAUAGUGCAAGAUUGUUAGGUGCAGGGUACAGAAAGUUCAGAUUGUGGUAGCUCUGUUUGGUGGAGGUGGCAAGGCUACAAACAUGCCUGCCUUUCCAUGAGUAAAGAAGAGGCCAUUCUACAGAUACCUGGGAGGCUGUGCAGUGGAAAGAUGCCUGCCUUUUCAUGGGUAAAGAAGAGGCCAUUCUGCAGAUACCUUGCAGUGGAAUAGGAACUGUGGACUCAGCAGUGGGGGAAUAGAAGCUGUGGACUCAGCACAUCAUCAGGGGCUCCAGGGAGGAAAUAGCUCUUCUUUCUCUGGACUACCUGUGCCAGGGACCUGAACAAAGAUUCCCUGUCUCCUCUUCCACCCCAAGAGAACACCAAAGGAUGGGCAAUAUAUCCUUUAUGAGUUGGUUUUGGAGGCCUCCCACAUAGAAGGCACCCAUAAGCAACAUGCAUUAGAGAAAAAAGCAGCUGAGAAUAAUGAGGCCUAUAAAUGCAAAGCAACAUCUGUUGACCCUGAAGUAAAUAGGUCCACCUUUCUUCACUCACACAGACACAUCUGGCCCUUCUGUCCUGGGUACAGGCAGAAGGGAAAUGCAAGGGAAAGCCAUUAGGAAGGGAGAACACAGGCUAUCCAAGAGGCUUCUAAUCUGAGGUGCCCAUCCCAUUGUGGCCACAUUUUAAAACAGAAAAUGAAAAAUUUCUUUUAUUAUGUCCAGAAAAUAUCAUGAAAUAAGCUUGAGAGACUUGUAUUUGGCAAGAUUAAGUUGUUUUUUUUUUUUUUUUCUGGAAUCAAUUCACCAGAUGCACAGAAUUCAGAAAGCAAAUAUAAUAGCAGUUAUUAGAAAAAAUAAGUCAUUCCAUACUUGCCUGUUGCUAAGUUGAGGCUCUUAUUUAUACCUGUUAUAUUCUCUCUUGUUAGAAGAUUUUGAAUAUGGGUGUGUGUGUGUAUGUGUGUGGGGCGUGCAUAUAUUUAUAAGAGUGAACACUAGUAGUGUUCCAUUGACGGUUUUACUUUAGUCUCUUCGUAGUACUUUGUCACCUCCACUACAGUAUUUAUCACAAGAUAUUACUCUAUUAAAAAAAAUUGAGAGUUCCCAUCAUAGCUCAGUGGUUAAUGAAUCUGACUGGCAUCCAUGGGGACAAGGAUUUGAUCCCUGGCCUCACUCAGUGGGUUGGGGAUCCAGCAUUGCCAUGAGCUGUGGUGUAGGUCACAGACACGGUUUGGAUCCAUGUUGCCGUAGCUGUGGCGUAGGCCAGCGGCUAUAGCUCCGAUUGGACCCCUAGCCUGGGAACUUCCAUGUGCUGCAGGUGUGGCCCUAAAAAAAGACAAAAAGACCAAAAAAAUAAUUUGCUGUCUUUUCUUGUAGAUGAUUUCUUAGAGGGGACCGAAAUAUAAUUUUCAACCUUUGCUUCUAUUGUAGUACCAGACAUGUAGUAGUUACAAAAAAAAAAAAAA